UGCAGCCUUGUCAAAUCAGUGCUUCCUCUGUGGACCGUACUGGCCAAAAUGGCUGCAACAUUGAAUUAGUAGUCUAUGGUCCCUGUAUUCUGUCUUUGUGGAUACUGGGGAUAGAAAUGGCUAUGUACAAUC